GACGAACGCUGGCGGCGUGCUUAACACAUGCAAGUCGAACGGUAAGGCCCUUCGGGGUACACGAGUGGCGAACGGGUGAGUAACACGUGGGUGAUCUGCCCUGCACUUCGGGAUAAGCCUAGGAAACUGGGUCUAAUACCGGAUAGGACCACUGCCUGCAUGGGUGGUGGCGGAAAGCUUUUGCGGUGUGGGAUGGGCCCGCGGCCUAUCAGCUUGUUGGUGGGGUGAUGGCCUACCAAGGCGACGACGGGUAGCCGGCCUGAGAGGGUGACCGGCCACACUGGGACUGAGAUACGGCCCAGACUCCUACGGGAGGCAGCAGUGGGGAAUAUUGCACAAUGGGCGCAAGCCUGAUGCAGCGACGCCGCGUGAGGGAUGACGGCCUUCGGGUUGUAAACCUCUUUCAGCACCGACGAAGCGCAAGUGACGGUAGGUGCAGAAGAAGGACCGGCCAACUACGUGCCAGCAACCGCCGUAAGAC
rnacentral:rRNA from 1 species